UUGCCCGAUGAUUAUAAAAAGACGCGUUGUUAAGAGGACUUCAUGCUGGAGUUCUUUACCUUCUUUCUCUCUUUUCUGUACUACUUUUUCUUUCUUUUGAUGUCCAGCGUCCUGUGAGCGAAGAUUAUGAGAUAUGAGGGCAA